AAAGAAGAGAGCAAGUUUAGAUUAGAUAUAUAGAGUCCUUAAUAAGACACCCAAAUGUAAUACUAAGGCUAGGAUCCAAUCACAAUAUAUUAUACUUAGAAGAGGGAUGUCGUAAUCUAAGUGAUAACAUAUUUGAAAGGUAGGUGAAUGACGAUUCACCAAUUUCGACCAUGAAAAACGAAAUGAGUUAUUAGGUUUUAAUUGGAUUUGAAAUUCCUAGAUUCUUUUGAGAUUCAUUGAACUUUUCAAUGGCAUGUUUCAAUCUCGAUUGUGGCAUUCAAGUUUUGUUAUUGGGAUGCCGAGGAUCACAAAACAAGGUGUGAAUAACCAUGCUAAUUCACUUGGUACCCCUAAUAUUAUCACCUAAUCAAUGUGCCGGUUAACCACACACGCUCCAUUGAUCUAUGACAACAUUAAGUUACCCUUCGUGAUCCUUACUAGUCUAAUUAGUGUGCCGGUUAACCACACACGCUCCACUAACGACUUGGUAAGGUACAAAGUGUGAAUUCCAUGGAUUAGCACCAUGUUCACAUUUUCCUAAAAUAACUAAGAUUGGGAAUUAAAAGAGUUUAGUUAUUUUAUAAUAUUCAUUAUACUUUUAAUGAGGAUUUAAAGUCGUUGUUCUACCCGUUCGGCUAACGACCCUCCACCGAUCAAGCAAGCGGUGGGUGAGAGUAUACACCCAUUAAGUCGCCAUUUUAUAGGCAACAACCUUAUACCCACCUUAUAGACCGGCUUCGUGAAUGAGGCCUACUAACGGUAAAACGACUUAUUCUUAUACAUAUAUAUAAUAAUUAACCAUUAAUGUUCUAAAUAGUAUAAGUGUUGAAUUUUAACUAUUAAAACUCUACAGGUUGGAAUUAAAGUUUAUUAAAGUGUGUGAAACUUUACAAAUUCCAAAACUUGAGGGCAAGUUUUGUAACUAUCCAAAACUUUUCAUUUCAUAACUUAUGAAUUAAAGGUUUAUAAAAAUGAAGACUCUUCAUUUUUAUGUAACUUAUGUGUUUUAAAUGUGUGUUUAAAAGAGGUAACCUUUGGAUGUCCAUAACUUGAGGAAAAAUUUUGGACUCCAUUAAAACACAUAAAUGAUCAAGAAUUAAUCCUAAACAAUUCAGCAAAUAAUUCCUAUCAUCUUCUAAAUUCAUAAGAACAUGAACAUGAUCAUCAAAGUUUCAAGAAUUAUAUGAACACAUACAAAGCAUGAAAUUUUGAUAUAAGCUAUUGUAAAUGGAUUAGAACAACCAUUACACCAACUAAAACAAGUUUUAAAACACCAAAACAGUUUAGGGUAAUGUUUCUAGUCCUUUUCCAGCAGCCAAAGUCGAAAAUCUGAAUUCUAAGGCUUCUACUUGCCGAGUGCACGAACCUACUCGACGAGUAAGAUGAAUUUGGUCAUGGAAUCGGCGAGUCCCCCCAUGGACUCGGCUAGUUCAUCAUGCAAACAGCAAGAAAAUCGAAUUUUUUCACUAUUUUGCAUCAAGUAUCAAACAAACAAGCCUAGGCUCUGAUACCACUGUUGGGUUUUGAGCAUUCUAACACUUCCUAAGUGUACAUGCAACCCUAAUAAAUCUUGGAUCUAUGUUUGUCUAAGGUACAUGCAAAAUAUUAUUUUCCAAGGUUUAUAACCUAUCUAGCAUGGCAUGGGGUACUUUUAAACAUAAAAGAACUAGAUGAAUUACAUACCUUUUGUUGAUUGUUGAUUCCUUAGAGUUUGAGAGCCAAGCACCAAUAAUGUGAAUGCCUCAAAUGGAAAUCACAAAUCACCACAAACUUGGAAAAUAUAUGAGAGAGUAUACUAACUCUUAGAAAUCGGCCACCACUAUUACACACACACUAGAGGUGUUUUUCAUGCAACAUAAGCUUGUUUAUAUAUUGUUCAUGGUUAGGGUGAAACCCUAAUAACCCAUGUCUUUUCCUCUUCCAAGGAUCCAUGGGUUAAAGCUCCAUGGAUCAUCCAUGGACUUCCAUAUAAGCUUAGCCCAUUCCCAAAUGAGUGUUAGCCCACACCAUAUAAAUAUAAUAGCCCAUGAUUUAAUUAGUCUUCAUUUUAAUCACUAAAUUAAUUCAUAAUUAAUUCAAGAUUAAAACUAAUUAAAUAAUAUGACUUUAUAUUAAUAUAUUAUAACUUAUAAUAUAUUAAUAAAUCGUAAGUAUACAAUUCUCAUAAAAUUAUCCAUAAAUAGUUUGGGUGAAGUGCAACCCAAAUGGACCAUGCCGGGUCGGGUCAAGUAUAUACCAAAUAAGUUAUGGACUUAGACACCUUAUCCAACAGACUCCCACUUGGAUAAGUCUAAUAACUAUAUUUGCCUAUAACUUCAGGAACCAACCAACAAUCGUAGCUCUCGAAAACUCCCUCGAACAAUGAAGACUCUGUCGAACUAUGAAGCGCCAUUUUAGAUAAGUGAUCACAUAAUCCUCUGUUCUCAUGAUAUCAGCCGGACAAACACAUGGAACUAUGUCUUGCUUAUUGUCUAGCAGUUGUUUCUCGAUUAUCCGAUUUGUUUGACGAAGAACUUCACUGAACACAUCGGUUUAGUUCUGACCAGGCCUGGUAUAUGGGUCAACACAAAAUCAUCGAGGGGCCCGGAUAUCGCUUCUAUUUCUAGAAGGAACAGAUAAACUUCGACUGAUAUGCUUGUUCUACUACUUAUUGAAUUGUACACAAAGGCACGUUUUAUAACAUCAAGUUACUGAUGCGUUUACGUGCAAUCAAUGCACAACCAACUCAUAGGUAACAACUCAUAUCUCUAGGUUUAAAGAUUUAUAUGAUGUUAUCGUCUCACGAUCACUCGAGAUAAAUUCCAUGAAGUGAUACAAGUGAGCGUGGGUUUAUACCAAUACUCAUAACUUAUGAGUACUCAUGAAUGUUGCAGCAACCAUUGCCAUGCCUAAACACCUUUAAGGCAUCUACAAACCCAAUUCAUGACAAUCUUGAUUCAUACCUACUUCCGACGUAUGAUCGAUUGUGGAGGUUUGAACAAAUUAAUUAUUCUGGAAGUCAAAACAUGCAAAACUGAAACAAUAGUAAAUAAUUGACAAUGAUAGUAACACUUUACUCAUAAAUAAAUCACAAAUUUUAUUCAUCAUCAAACGUCGAUUACAUUUUACAAGUUUCAGGAAAACUAUCUAAUCUGUAAAACUAAUAUCGUCCCUCAGCCCGAUGCGUCUCGCAUGCUGAAAAUGCUUAACCCUCGUCAGUCCCUUCGUAAGGGGAUCUGCAGGAUUCUCAUCUGACGAUAUCCUCCUUGUCACAAGGAGUCCUUCUUCAAUCUUGUGCCUUAUGAAGUGAUAUUUUCUGUCAAUGUGUCGGGAUCUGCCAUGAUCUCUUGGUUCCUUGGCUAAGAUAACCGCAGCAUUGUUGUCACAGAAAAUUUCUAUAGGUUCCUUAAUAGCUGGUACAACUCCAAGGUCUCCGAUGAAGUUCUUUAGCCAUAUCGCCUCCUUCGCUGCUUCACUCGCUGCUAUAUACUCUGAUUCACAAGUCGAAUCAGCCACCGUCUCCUGCUUGGAACUCUUCCAAGAGAUUGCCCCUCCAUUUAGGGUAAAGAACCAGCUCGAAUGAGAGCGGAAGUUAUCCCUUUUUGUCUGAAAACUAGCAUCACUAUACCCUAACACUCUCAAGUCAUCACUCCCACCAAGGGUAAGAAUCCAAUUCUUAGUCCUUCGUAGGUACUUGAGAAUGUUCUUUACCACAGUCCAAUGAGCCUUGCCAGGGUUCUCCUGAUAUCUGCUAACCAUGCUCAAAGCAAAGGCCACAUCAGGGCGGGUACAAGUCAUAACAUACAUGAUCGAGCCCACAGCGGAAGCAUACAGUAAUCGACUCAUUUAUUCUAUCUCGGCCUCUGUACUCGGACUCUGAGUCUUACUCAGUUUGGCAUUGCUUUGGAUCGGUAAAUCUCCUUUCUUGGAAUUCUACAUGUUGAAUCUUUUCAACACCUUAUCCAAGUAGGUACUCUAACAAAGUCCAAUUAGUCUUUUACUCCUUUCUCUUAAUAUCCUUAUCCCUAGGAUAUAGGCAGCUUCCCCUAGGUCCUUCAUAGCAAAGCACUUCCCAAGCCAAGACUUAACCUCCUGGAAGGUUGGGAUGUCAUUUCCUAUAAGUAGUAUGUCAUCUACAUAUAGUACCAAGAAGCUAACUAUACUCCCACUAGCUCUGACAUACAUGCAAGACUCAUCUUCAUUUCUCGAGAAGCCAAACUCUUUGACCUUCUCAUCGAAACAAAGAUUCCAGCUACGAGAUGCUUGUUUUAAUCCAUAAAUGGAUUUCUCAAAAUUGCACCCUCUAUUAGGGUAUUCUGCACUGACAAAACCCUCUAGCUGAUUGAUGUACACGUCCUCAGCCAACUUUCCAUUAAGAAAAGCGGUUUUGACAUCCAUUUUCCAUAUUUCAUAAUCAUGAAAUGCAACAAUGGCUAGCAUAACCCUAAUAGACUUAAUCUUUGCUACCGGUGAGAAGUUUUCAUCAUAAUCAAUACCCUGAGUCUGAGUAAAACCCUUCACAACCCGUCGAGCCUUAUAAGUGUGCAUUUUUCCUUCCAUGUCGGUAUUCUUCUUGAAGAUCCAUUUGCACCCGACUGUUUUAUGGCCUGGUACAUUGUCAACCAAGUUUCAAACUUGAUUUCCAUACAUGGACUGUAUCUCGCUGUCCAUAGCCUCCUUCCAUUUAGCAGACUCCUGGCCUGCCAUGGCUUCCUUAACACUGCUAGGUUCAUCCAAAUUUACCAGUGUACUAUCGCUGAUAAACGUAUCACCUUCCGUAGUAAUAUGAAAGCCAUAAUAAAACGAAGGUGUGUUCCUAACCCGUGUGGAACGCCUCGGAGGUACAGACUUGUCAGCUUGCUCAACAGGAGUUUCCUCCUCAGGUUGAUUGCUAGUGUCUGAGGUUCCUUCACCAAUUGCUUCUUGAAUUUCUUCAAGAUCAAUUUGCCUCCCACUGUCUCCUUGGCUUAUAAAUUCUCUCUCACGAAAGACCCCUCUUCUUGCUACAAAGACCACAUUCUCACUGGGUCUGUAGAAGAGGUAACCGAAGGAUUUCUGUGGGUAGCCGAUGAAAAUACACCUUUCACUUCGGGGUUCGAGCUUAUCAUGAGUCUCACGCCUCACGAAAGCCUCGCAACCCCAAAUCUUGAUGUGGUCCAAAUUGGGAACCUUCCCAGUCCACAUCUCAUGAGGUGUUUUGGUAACCUUCUUUGUAGGGACUAGAUUAAGGAUAUGGGCGGCAGUCUCUAAGGCAUACCCCCAAAAAGAGAUUGGUAGCGAAGCUCGACUCAUCAUAGAGCGAACCAUGUCUAACAAGGUUCGAUUACGCCUCUCAGCUACACCAUUUAGCUGUGGUGUCCUGGGAGGAGUCAAUUGUGAGACAAUCCCACACUCCUUAAGAUAGUCAAGGAACUCGGUACUAAGAUACUCACCACCUCGAUCGGAUCGAAGCAUCUUAAUGUUCCUGCCCAAUUGAUUUUCUACUUCCUGUUUGAAUUCCUUAAACCUUUCAAAGGUUUCGGACUUAUGUUUGAUUAAGUAGACAUACCCAUAUCUACUAAAAUCAUCAAUAAAAGUCACAUAAUACCGAUUAGCAUCCCUUGUGGCGGUUUUGAAUGGCCCACAUACAUCAGUAUGUAUUAGGUCCAACAAACCCUCACCCCUCUCACAAGUUCCAGUGAAGGGUGAUUUUGUCAUUUUUCCAAGUAGACAAGAUUCACAACUAUCAUCCGAUUUAAGGUCGAAUGACUCCAAGACUCCACUCUUUUGGAGUUGGCCUAUGCGUUUCUUGUUUACAUGUCCAAGACGACAAUGCCACAAUGAUGCUUUAUCUAGGCUAGUAGAAGAAUCAAUAUACAACACAUUAUUUCCUAAGUUGUCUACAAUCGACACAGUUUCAUACACACCAUCACAAGGUAAUGCUUUAAAAUAAAACACAUUUUUAAAGAAAGCAUUAAUACCACCACAUUCAUUAUCAAACGAAAAGGUAAAACCUUGUUUGUACAAAGCAUGAAAAGAAAUAAUAUUCCUCGCCAUUUCAGACGAGUAUACACAUUUAUUCAAAUCUAAUUUUAACCCAUUAUUAAGCAACAAAGUAUAAACUCCAAUCUUGGAAACAGGUGAAGCCUUCCUAUUCCCCAUGAUUAAGUUUAUCUUCCCGUGCUCCACAUCCUCACUUCUUCUUAGGCCCUGCAAAUCAGAACAUAUGUGAAUACCACAUCCUGUAUCAAGCACCCAAGAGUUAGAAUAUGUUGAGUAAUUAGACAAUAUAGUGUAAAUACCUGCAUAGGUGGGUUUCACUUUCCCAUCCUUUAGAUCCUGCAAGUACUUAGGGCAGUUUCGCUUCCAGUGUGCCUUUUCAUGGCAAUAAAAGCAUUCAGCAUCCUUUGGAAUGGCAGAAGGAGUGACAGAACCGUUCUUAGUCUUGGAUGAGGAGCCUUCAAGAGACUUUCCCUUGGUACCCUUCGAAGGGUGCUUCCUCUUUUUCCCUUUGCCUUGCCCAAUAGCUAAAACAGGGGUAGAAGUUGGAGUAGGAGUAGUAGAGGUAACAACCGCUUUACCCUUAAGACCGGUUUCAGCGGUCUUCAAGAGUCCUUGAAGCUUGCUGAGGGUAACUUCCUCCUUGUUCAUAUGAUAUGUCAUUCGAAAAUGAUCAUAACAAGAAGGCAAGGAGUGCAAAAUGAUGUCAAUUGCUAACUCCUCGGGGAUGUUAACAUUCAGCUUCAGCAAACGGUCCACAUACCUUUGCAUCUUUUGCAUGUGGCCCGUGACGGAUUCACCGUCCUUCAUGCGGGUAGUUAUUAUGGAGGAGAUUAUUUCAUACCGCUCCUGACGAGCACUCUGAUGGUACCUUUCCAUCAAGUCUUGGUGCAUCUCAAAAGGGUAGAAAUCUUCAUAUGACUUUUGGAGCUCGGCUGUCAUCGUGGCCAUCAUGAUACAUGCCACCUUAGUAGCAUCUCUCUCAUGAGUCCUGAAUUCAGCGAUCUCCUCAGGAGUAGCAGUAGACUCAUCAAGUUCUUUUAACUCCUUAUCGAGGACAUAUUCCUUGUCCUCGUAACGAGUAACCAUCCUGAUGUUCCUAAUCCAAUCCAUGAAGUUGGAACCAUCAAAGAUGACCCUCCCACAAAGAUUCAUGAGAGAGAAAGAACCAGUUGGGUUAGAGCCUGAAGCAUUAGUGUUGGAAGACAUCUGAAAGAAGAAAGUAAGUUUAGAUUAGAUAUUUAGGAUCCUUAAUAAGACACCCAAAUGUAAUAUUAAGGCUAGGAUCCAAUCACAAUAUAUUACACUUAGAAGAGGGAUGCCGUAAUCUAAGUAAUAAUAUAUUUGAAAGGUAGGCGAAUGACGAUUCACCAAUUUCCACCAUGAAAACGAAAUGAUUAAUUAGGUUUAAUUGGAUUUGAAAUUCCUAGAUUCUUUUGAGAUUCAUUGAACUUUUCAAUGGCAUGUUUCAAUCUCGAUUGUGCCCUUCAAGUUUUGUGACUGGGAUGCCGAGGAUCACAAAACAAGGUGUGAAUAACCAUGCUAACUCACUUGGUACUCCUAAUAUUAUCACCUAAUCAAUGUGCCGGUUAACCACACACGCUCCAUUGAUCUAUGAC
rnacentral:lncRNA from 1 species